rnacentral:ncRNA from 1 species
UUUAGGGGUGCUGUUAAGUAGGCUGAGAAAUACCCUUAUAACCUGAAACCGAUAAUGCGGGCGAAGGGAAAAGUUGAA